rnacentral:misc_RNA from 1 species
AAAGUCGUAACAAGGUUUCCGUAGGUGAACCUGCGGAAGGAUCAUUAUUGAAUGAACUUGGAGUCGGUUGUCGCUGGCUGUCUUAUUUGGCAGCAUGUGCACGCCUUCUCUUUUCAUCCACACACACCCCUGUGCACUUGUGAGACUGGAGACCGGUAAAAAAAGUCCUCAGUCUGCUAAAUCCAUAUACAAACCCAUUUAAUUGAACUGAAUGUAAAUUGAUGUAACGCAUCUUUAAACUAAGUUUCAACAACGGAUCUCUUGGCUCUC